rnacentral:lncRNA from 1 species
CGAGAACAAGAAAUUUCAAUUUCACUCAGCGUAAGUCAAAGAGUGGCAACCAUUAUCAGUUUCUCCUAAAGGCAUACGUUCCAGUUCCUUCCUCAGCUAGUUCUCUAGUUUCUAAAUUCAGAGAUAGGGCACCAAGUCCUAAACCUCAGGGCAGUGGUAGCAGUGCCCGGACCAAUCCCCUUUGUCAGACUUGUGGCAAGCAUCACAAGGGUGUUUAAAG